AGAGUUUGAUCCUGGCUCAGGAUGAACGCUAGCGACAGGCCUAACACAUGCAAGUCGAGGGGCAGCGGAGAGGUAGCAAUACCUUUGCCGGCGACCGGCGCACGGGUGAGUAACACGUAUGCAAUCCACCUGUAACAGGGGGAUAACCCGGAGAAAUCCGGACUAAUACCCCAUAAUAUGGGCUCUCCGCAUGGAGGGUUCAUUAAAGAGAGCAAUUUUGGUUACAGACGAGCAUGCGCUCCAUUAGCCAGUUGGCGGGGUAACGGCCCACCAAAGCGACGAUGGAUAGGGGUUCUGAGAGGAAGGUCCCCCACAUUGGAACUGAGACACGGUCCAAACUCCUACGGGAGGCAGCAGUGAGGAAUAUUGGUCAAUGGUCGGCAGACUGAACCAGCCAAGUCGCGUGAGGGAAGACGGCCCUACGGGUUGUAAACCUCUUUUGUCGGAGAGUAAAGUACGCUACGUGUAGCGUAUUGCAAGUAUCCGAAGAAAAAGCAUCGGCUAACUCCGUGCCAGCAGCCGCGGUAAUACGGAGGAUGCGAGCGUUAUCCGGAUUUAUUGGGUUUAAAGGGUGCGUAGGCGGCACGCCAAGUCAGCGGUGAAAUUUUCGGGCUCAACCCGGACUGUGCCGUUGAAACUGGCGAGCUAGAGUGCACAAGAGGCAGGCGGAAUGCGUGGUGUAGCGGUGAAAUGCAUAGAUAUCACGCAGAACCCCGAUUGCGAAGGCAGCCUGCUAGGGUGCGACAGACGCUGAGGCACGAAAGCGUGGGUAUCGAACAGGAUUAGAUACCCUGGUAGUCCACGCAGUAAACGAUGAAUACUAACUGUUUGCGAUACAAUGUAAGCGGUACAGCGAAAGCGUUAAGUAUUCCACCUGGGGAGUACGCCGGCAACGGUGAAACUCAA
rnacentral:rRNA from 1 species